GAUGAACGCUGGCGGCGUGCUUAACACAUGCAAGUCGAACGAAGCACUUUAUUUGAUUUCCUUCGGGACUGAUUAUUUUGUGACUGAGUGGCGGACGGGUGAGUAACGCGUGGGUAACCUGCCUUGUACAGGGGGAUAACAGUUGGAAACGGCUGCUAAUACCGCAUAAGCGCACGGCAUCGCAUGAUGCAGUGUGAAAAACUCCGGUGGUAUAAGAUGGACCCGCGUUGGAUUAGCUAGUUGGUGAGGUAACGGCCCACCAAGGCGACGAUCCAUAGCCGACAUGAGAGGGUGACCGGCCACAUUGGGACUGAGACACGGCCCAAACUCCUACGGGAGGCAGCAGUGGGGAAUAUUGCACAAUGGGCGAAAGCCUGAUGCAGCGACGCCGCGUGAGCGAAGAAGUAUUUCGGUAUGUAAAGCUCUAUCAGCAGGGAAGAUAAUGACGGUACCUGACGAAGAAGCACCGGCUAAAUACGUG
rnacentral:rRNA from 1 species